CGGUGGAUGCCCUGGCAGUCAGAGGCGAUGAAGGACGUGCUAAUCUGCGAUAAGCGUCGGUAAGGUGAUAUGAACCGUUAUAACCGGCGAUUUCCGAAUGGGGAAACCCAGUGUGUUUCGACACACUAUCAUUAACUGAAUCCAUAGGUUAAUGAGGCGAACCGGGGGAACUGAAACAUCUAAGUACCCCGAGGAAAAGAAAUCAACCGAGAUUCCCCCAGUAGCGGCGAGCGAACGGGGAGCAGCCCAGAGCCUGAAUCAGUGUGUGUGUUAGUGGAAGCGUCUGGAAAGGCGCGCGAUACAGGGUGACAGCCCCGUACACAAAAAUGCACAUGCUGUGAGCUCGAUGAGUAGGGCGGGACACGUGGUAUCCUGUCUGAAUAUGGGGGGACCAUCCUCCAAGGCUAAAUACUCCUGACUGACCGAUAGUGAACCAGUACCGUGAGGGAAAGGCGAAAAGAACCCCGGCGAGGGGAGUGAAAAAGAACCUGAAACCGUGUACGUACAAGCAGUGGGAGCACGCUUCGGCGUGUGACUGCGUACCUUUUGUAUAAUGGGUCAGCGACUUAUAUUCUGUAGCAAGGUUAACCGAAUAGGGGAGCCGAAGGGAAACCGAGUCUUAACUGGGCGUUAAGUUGCAGGGUAUAGACCCGAAACCCGGUGAUCUAGCCAUGGGCAGGUUGAAGGUUGGGUAACACUAACUGGAGGACCGAACCGACUAAUGUUGAAAAAUUAGCGGAUGACUUGUGGCUGGGGGUGAAAGGCCAAUCAAACCGGGAGAUAGCUGGUUCUCCCCGAAAGCUAUUUAGGUAGCGCCUCGUGAAUUCAUCUCCGGGGGUAGAGCACUGUUUCGGCAAGGGGGUCAUCCCGACUUACCAACCCGAUGCAAACUGCGAAUACCGGAGAAUGUUAUCACGGGAGACACACGGCGGGUGCUAACGUCCGUCGUGAAGAGGGAAACAACCCAGACCGCCAGCUAAGGUCCCAAAGUCAUGGUUAAGUGGGAAACGAUGUGGGAAGGCCCAGACAGCCAGGAUGUUGGCUUAGAAGCAGCCAUCAUUUAAAGAAAGCGUAAUAGCUCACUGGUCGAGUCGGCCUGCGCGGAAGAUGUAACGGGGCUAAACCAUGCACCGAAGCUGCGGCAGCGACGCUUAUGCGUUGUUGGGUAGGGGAGCGUUCUGUAAGCCUGUGAAGGUGUGCUGUGAGGCAUGCUGGAGGUAUCAGAAGUGCGAAUGCUGACAUAAGUAACGAUAAAGCGGGUGAAAAGCCCGCUCGCCGGAAGACCAAGGGUUCCUGUCCAACGUUAAUCGGGGCAGGGUGAGUCGACCCCUAAGGCGAGGCCGAAAGGCGUAGUCGAUGGGAAACAGGUUAAUAUUCCUGUACUUGGUGUUACUGCGAAGGGGGGACGGAGAAGGCUAUGUUGGCCGGGCGACGGUUGUCCCGGUUUAAGCGUGUAGGCUGGUUUUCCAGGUAAAUCCGGAAAAUCAAGGCUGAGGCGUGAUGACGAGGCACUACGGUGCUGAAGCAACAAAUGCCCUGCUUCCAGGAAAAGCCUCUAAGCAUCAGGUAACAUCAAAUCGUACCCCAAACCGACACAGGUGGUCAGGUAGAGAAUACCAAGGCGCUUGAGAGAACUCGGGUGAAGGAACUAGGCAAAAUGGUGCCGUAACUUCGGGAGAAGGCACGCUGAUAUGUAGGUGAGGUCCCUCGCGGAUGGAGCUGAAAUCAGUCGAAGAUACCAGCUGGCUGCAACUGUUUAUUAAAAACACAGCACUGUGCAAACACGAAAGUGGACGUAUACGGUGUGACGCCUGCCCGGUGCCGGAAGGUUAAUUGAUGGGGUUAGCGGUAACGCGAAGCUCUUGAUCGAAGCCCCGGUAAACGGCGGCCGUAACUAUAACGGUCCUAAGGUAGCGAAAUUCCUUGUCGGGUAAGUUCCGACCUGCACGAAUGGCGUAAUGAUGGCCAGGCUGUCUCCACCCGAGACUCAGUGAAAUUGAACUCGCUGUGAAGAUGCAGUGUACCCGCGGCAAGACGGAAAGACCCCGUGAACCUUUACUAUAGCUUGACACUGAACAUUGAGCCUUGAUGUGUAGGAUAGGUGGGAGGCUUUGAAGUGUGGACGCCAGUCUGCAUGGAGCCGACCUUGAAAUACCACCCUUUAAUGUUUGAUGUUCUAACGUUGACCCGUAAUCCGGGUUGCGGACAGUGUCUGGUGGGUAGUUUGACUGGGGCGGUCUCCUCCUAAAGAGUAACGGAGGAGCACGAAGGUUGGCUAAUCCUGGUCGGACAUCAGGAGGUUAGUGCAAUGGCAUAAGCCAGCUUGACUGCGAGCGUGACGGCGCGAGCAGGUGCGAAAGCAGGUCAUAGUGAUCCGGUGGUUCUGAAUGGAAGGGCCAUCGCUCAACGGAUAAAAGGUACUCCGGGGAUAACAGGCUGAUACCGCCCAAGAGUUCAUAUCGACGGCGGUGUUUGGCACCUCGAUGUCGGCUCAUCACAUCCUGGGGCUGAAGUAGGUCCCAAGGGUAUGGCUGUUCGCCAUUUAAAGUGGUACGCGAGCUGGGUUUAGAACGUCGUGAGACAGUUCGGUCCCUAUCUGCCGUGGGCGCUGGAGAACUGAGGGGGGCUGCUCCUAGUACGAGAGGACCGGAGUGGACGCAUCACUGGUGUUCGGGUUGUCAUGCCAAUGGCACUGCCCGGUAGCUAAAUGCGGAAGAGAUAAGUGCUGAAAGCAUCUAAGCACGAAACUUGCCCCGAGAUGAGUUCUCCCUGACUCCUUGAGAGUCCUGAAGGAACGUUGAAGACGACGACGUUGAUAGGCCGGGUGUGUAAGCGCAGCGAUGCGUUGAGCUAACCGGUACUAAUGAACCGUGAGGCUUAACCUU
rnacentral:rRNA from 1 species